rnacentral:lncRNA from 9 species
UCCAACUUGAGGAGCCGGUGCGAAGCUUGCCAAGUGCAACUUUAGUGCUAGAGCGUUGGUUCCAAUCAAGGUCAUACGGCAGAGCAAGCAAGUGAAGGCACCCGGUCAAGUCCAAAGCUGAAGACCCUGGCUCUCCAGUAAGGCUCUGGAAAACCACAGCUGGGGUGAGGGAGUCUCCUCCAGGCGUGAUGACCUCAGGCUUGCCCUCCUCACCUCUUUCCUCACGAGACCAGUCAGAGGUGAGAAAACAGACCUGAGAAGCAGUGUCUUUGCUCAGUCUCUCCACGUGUUUGUGGCAUGUUCCUCAGCUUGGAACCCCCCUGGGUCCUGGCCUGGUGAGCAUUCCUCCCCAGCUCCCCGACACCUGCUUUCGGUACAGGAAACUUGUCAGGGGUGCACCAACUGUGUUCCGUGUGGUCACAUGACCUGGGUCAGUCUCACGCCAGCCGUUCCCUGGAAGUCACCCGGGGUAGGUAGGUGAAAGAACGGGAGGGGGUGG